GGGGGCGAUCGGUAUCGACGGGGCAAGAGAUGCGUCGGACUGCACGCGGAGGAUGAUAGUUACCUCCUUAAUCACCUGUCACAAUCUUAGUUGCCGAUUACGGCUACAUGGCUGCUGCUUAAAUAGUGGUCCGUUCCAGAUCUAAUUCGUCUAUGGUUAGGUCCAGGAACGUCAUUUACAUAGGCUAGUUCUAAAUAUACCUGUGGAUUUAGAAUAAAAACUUAGCAGGUUGGUUCUGCCUGAUUUUUGUCUCUGAUAAAAGGUAGAAUAAGAUCUUAAUCAGAUGACUAAGCAUGUAGAUGUCUACCGUUACUCUGUUUCGGACGGGAGUUCGAUUCUCCCCGCCUCCACAU
rnacentral:tmRNA from 1 species